rnacentral:tRNA from 1 species
GGCAAUAUGGCCGAGUGGUCUAAGGCGCCAGAAUCAGGCCAUCUUCCGAUGGUUUAUCUGGUCCGAAAGGGCGAGGGUUCGAAUCCCUCUGUUGUCA